ACACGGGUAGCUCAGGCUGGUUAGAGCAGUUGCUUUAUAAGCGACAGGUCGGGGGUUCAAAUCCCUCUCCGUGUA
rnacentral:tRNA from 1 species